rnacentral:rRNA from 1 species
UACGAAGGGGGCGAGCGUUGUUCGGAUUUACUGGGCGUAAAGGGCGCGCAGGCGGCUCAUUUUGUCAGGCGUGAAAGCCCCGGGCUUAACCUGGGAGGUGCGUUUGAUACGGAUGGGCUAGAGUUCGGGAGAGGAGAGUGGAAUUCCCAGUGUAGAGGUGAAAUUCGUAGAUAUUGGGAAGAACACCAGUGGCGAAGGCGACUUACUGGACACAUAUUGACGCUGAGGUGCGAAAGCGUGGGGAGCAAACAGG